UACGGAGGAUCCGAGCGUUAUCCGGAAUUAUUGGGUUUAAAGGGUGCGUAGGCGGCUUUUUAAGUCAGCGGUGAAAUUUUGCAGCUUAACUGUAACAGUGCCGUUGAUACUGGGGAGCUAGGAUUUGGUUGCUGUGGGUGGAAUGUGUGGUGUAGCGGUGAAAUGCUUAGAGAUCACACAGAAUAUCGAUUGCGAAGGCAGCUCACAAAGCCAAGAUUGACGCUGAGGCACGAAAGUGUGGGGAUCAAACAGGAUUAGA
rnacentral:rRNA from 1 species